rnacentral:rRNA from 1 species
AGAGAUGUGUGAUGACGCAUAUCAAUAAGCGGAGGAAAAGAAACUAACAAGGAUUCCCUUAGUAACGGCGAGUGAAGCGGGAAGGGCUCAAAUUUGAAAUCUUCAAGGUUCUACCUUGACGAAUUGUAGUUAAUAGAAGUGUUUUCUGUUAGUGGAGUGGCAAAAGUUCUUUGGAAUAGGACAUCAUAGAGGGUGAGAAUCCCGUAUUUGGUCAUUCCUCCUAGCGUUGUGAUACACUUUCAACGAGUCGGAUUGUUUGGGAAUGCAGUCCAAAAUGGGUGGUAAAUUUCAUCUAAAGCUAAAUAUUGGCGAGAGACCGAUAGCGAACAAGUACCGUGAGGGAAAGAUGAAAAGAACUUUGAAAAGAGAGUUAAACAGUACGUGAAAUUGUCUAAAGGGAAGCGUUUGACACCAGUGUUGUUUUUCCGAAAAUCAAUUACGAAUGUUUUGUUUUUAGAGAGUUAUGACUUCAUCGGCUUGCUUCUCUCUUUAUGAAACUUUCUUAAUGCACUUUUCGGUUAACAAGUCAACAUCAAUUUCUUUUGUUGUAAAAGGGUAUGAGGAAGGUGGCUUUCUUUUCGGAGAAAGUGCUUAUAGCCUUGUACCUCUGCAAUCGGAGAGAUUGAGGUCUGCAGCGUAGAUCCUUCGGGGUUAGAUACAUUUGUGCUAAGUUAUAGCUUGUCAUAGACAACUUGUUGACUAUGUUUAGUCAUUGUAGCUUACUCGCUUAUGCUAUUUUACCUACGCUUAGGAUGUUGAUCUGUAGUGCGUGCGC